rnacentral:misc_RNA from 1 species
UUGUCCAUUUUAAACUUAAUUUGAUCCUUUUUUGCAUCUUUCACAGCCCUAGAAACAUCACUGACCACUGUUCCUUGUUUAGAAUCUGGCAUAAGUCCAUAACGAUUAAGAAUCCUUGCUAGCUUUGCUACACGGGGAUACAAUUUAAUAGUUGCAAAACACUUGUCAACGUCAAUCUUGCCAGCACUAGCAAUUUCAUCGAUAAGUUCACUACCACCAACAACAUCAGCUCCUGCAGCUCUAGCUUCAUCUGCAUCUGCCCCUUCAGCAAAGACAGCUAUCCUGAUAGCCUUCUUACCACCAUGAGGCAGAGUCAAUGUACCACGAACAAUCAUAUCAGAACGAGAUUUAGCAAUGCCCAAUCUUACGUGUGCUUCAACAGUCUCAUCGAAAGCAGUCCUUGCA